GUGACCCCAGGUCAGGUGGG
rnacentral:rRNA from 1 species